GUACUGUGAUCGCUCUUCAGUUGUUGAAUAAAUCUUUCGCCUUUUACUAAAGAUUUCCGUGGAGAGACAUAUUCUAAUGAGACUAAACUGAUCAUUUAUCAUUUGAUCUUGAUACUAUCG
rfam:Anopheles gambiae str. PEST chromosome 3L, whole genome shotgun sequence.